UGGGACACAAAAAAGUAAAAGGGGGAAAC
rnacentral:piRNA from 1 species